rnacentral:rRNA from 1 species
GACGAACGCUGGCGGCGUGCUUAACACAUGCAAGUCGAACGGAAAGGCCCUGCUUUUGUGGGGUGCUCGAGUGGCGAACGGGUGAGUAACACGUGAGUAACCUGCCCUUGACUUUGGGAUAACUUCAGGAAACUGGGGCUAAUACCGGAUAGGAGCUCCUGCUGCAUGGUGGGGGUUGGAAAGUUUCGGCGGUUGGGGAUGGACUCGCGGCUUAUCAGCUUGUUGGUGGGGUAGUGGCUUACCAAGGCUUUGACGGGUAGCCGGCCUGAGAGGGUGACCGGCAACAUUGGGACUGAGAUACGGCCCAGACUCCUACGGGAGGCAGCAGUGGGGAAUAUUGCAAGAUGGGCGGAAGCCUGAUGCAGCAACGCCGCGUGCGGGAUGACGGCCUUCGGGUUGUAAACCGCUUUCGCCUGUGACGAAGCGUGAGUGACGGUAAUGGGUAAAGAAGCACCGGCUAACUACGUG